rnacentral:rRNA from 1 species
CCUACGGGGGGCAACAGUGGGGAAUAUUGCACAAUGGGGGAAACCCUGAUGCAGCGACGCCGCGUGUGGGAAGACGGUCUUCUGGAUUGUAAACCACUGUCCCCAGGGACGAAAAUGACGGUACCUGGGGAGGAAGCUCCGGCUAACUACGUGCCAGCAGCCGCGGUAAUACGUAGGGAGCAAGCGUUGUCCGGAAUUACUGGGUGUAAAGGGAGCGUAGGCGGGGAGGCAAGUUGGGUGUCAAGACUACCGGCUAAACCUAUAGUCGCACUCAAAACUGCAGCUCUUGAGUGAAGUAGAGGCAGGCGGAAGUCCUAGUGUAGCGGUGAAAUGCGUAGAUAUUAGGAGGAACACCAGUGGCGAAGGCGGCCUGCUGGGCUUUUACUGACGCUGAGGCUCGAAAGUGUGGGGAGCAAACAGGAUUAGAUACCCCAGUAGUC